rnacentral:misc_RNA from 1 species
GUAGGUGAACCUGCGGAAGGAUCAUUAACACUUUUUAAUGCAUGGGGUUUUUUUCUUCUUCUUCUUGAAAAGGAAUUACCUCAUAUAUACCCCCCUUUAAUGGAUGAAUUCUCAAUUUUCUUCACUUUUUUUUUUAACCCCAACACUAUACCAAAAAAUUAUCAUGCAAUGACUGAAAUGUUUUCUUUUUUUCCUUUCUGGGGGAAAAAAGAUCUCUUAAAAAAAUGCUAAGAAACAACUCUUAACAACG